rnacentral:tRNA from 1 species
GCCGGGUUAGUCUAGAACUAGUGGCCGCUGCGCGCCGGACUGCAGAUUCGGUAUUUCUGGCUUGUAUUCAAGCCGGGUCCGAAACCAGGGUUCAAAAUCUUUGGAGCUUUGUCUCCGAUGAGGAAUUUCCCUGACCCGGCUCCA